GCUUCCCCUAAAACCUUCCUUUCUCCCAUACAAGAGACACUCUAAAAGUCUGCCAUAAAAUCUUGAAAACGGUACCGUAAUUCCUUUCAUUUAUAUUCAAGAAACAUCCUUCUAAACCUAAAGUCAAAUCACGUCAGAUCUUUCCUUAAAACCUCAAGAACUUUCCCUUAAAACAUUACCUUUCCUCUUUCAAGAAACAUUAAAAGUCGUCCCUUAAAACGUUGAAGAGAGAAUCCCUUCAUACCUCUCCUUUACACAGAGAAGAAACUCCCCUUAAACCUUUAAAACCUGAAGGACUUUCCCCUAAAACCUCACUCUCCCCCAUACAAGAAACAACACCUCGCCUUUAAACCUCCUCUCUUGACAGUCACACUUAAAUAACUUGCUCCAUCUUUAAACAGUUUUACAACCACAGCAAACUUUCCUACAUCCAUUUUUAUCGCAACUUUUAAACCUGCUAUGUUCCCUCGUUAAAAACAAUCACUUUACAUUCUCCCUUCACAAGAUACAGCCUCUUAAAGACUCAUCCUCUUACCACCAGACUUAACUUUCCGCCCAUUUUUACAGCGAGUCUCUGGGUAAAUACACCGGCUGGCCUCGGGAACCAGUUGUCCUCGGCGGCAGUUCAGCCCACAAGUUGGUGUAGGGUAAGGGCGAGGCGAGCAGAGGCGAGUUCACGCCACACGUUUAGCAUCUCAAGGAGUAAUUCCCAGCAAAGAGAGACAGCCAGCCGUCCACAACACAGGAAAACAAGAUAUUCAUGCCGCUCUUCUUCGUAUGCUAAUAAGAAAGGCGAGGCGGGAAGGAAAGCGAAUGAAGAAUGGUUGCAAAAGAGAUAUUGAGUAAAGGGAAGGUGAGGAGAAAGAGACGGAGGAUGAGGAGGAAGAGGAAGAGGAAGAGAAUUGUAUGGGAUGUGACUAAAAGAGGAUGGAAAAGGAAUUGUAGAUUAUAUGGAAAGAAUAGAUUAAGAGGAGGAGAUGGAGAUGGAGGAAAAGAAGGAUAAGAUGGUGUGAGUUUUAUGGAAGAGCGAGCAAGAGAGAGAGAGAGAGAGAGAGAGAGAGAGAGAGAGAGAGAGAGAGAGAGUUAAAUUUCCUCAGCACAACAUCGUGGGAACAUAAAUCUUGUGCGUGUGUGAGUUUGUUAUUAAAAUAUUUGCUCUUUUCCUUAACUUUCCUUACUCUUCUCUCUUUUACGGUGGAAAAGUAAAUAAAAAGAACAUUUCGCUUUUUUUUUAUAAAUUUUUACGUCAUUAUUUUCAACCCAGUUUCACACUCGUUAGAAAAAUGAGAAAUAAUGUGGUUUCUCUCGUGUAAAAAAAAUAAAUAAAUAAAAACA